rfam:Mus musculus chromosome 19 genomic contig MG4249_PATCH, GRC reference assembly FIX PATCH for GRCm38.
GGUGGCGCAGUGGGUAGAGCUCCUGUCUAUCAUGCAGAAAACCCUGGGUUCAAUCCCCAGCACCA